UACAGAGGGGGCAAGCGUUGUUCGGAAUUACUGGGCGUAAAGGGCGCGUAGGCGGCCUUCUACGUCAGACGUGAAAUCCCCCGGCUCAACCUGGGAAUUGCAUUCGAGACUGAAUAGCUAGGGUACGGUAGAGGGAAGUGGAAUUUCCGGUGUAGCGGUGAAAUGCGUAGAUAUCGGAAGGAACAUCAGUGGCGAAAGCGACUUCCUGGACCAGUACCGACGUUCAGGCACGAAAGCGUGGGGAGCAAACAGG
rnacentral:rRNA from 1 species